rnacentral:lncRNA from 10 species
AGGAGACCCCACCCCCGCCGACGGUGAAAACCUAUGAAACCUGGGCGGAGGCGUGCGGAGUCGGGUAGAGAGCGAAAUCACGCCUCUUCAGUCAGCCACGCCCUUUAUUCUUGCUCGGCCUCGCCACAGAGAGCAAAUCAGAUUGGCUGGGCGACAACCUCAAAGGGCGGGGCUGCACACGUUCACUACGGGAAUGAGUCCCGUUUGCCACCAUGGGGAUGUACCAAGUGAGACCGAGUAGGGGGAACGAGUGGUGAUUGACGCGCCAGGUUACUGGCCACUGCUCACCUAGGCGCUAGCAAACUUCUGCCAAGAUCGGAACUGAGUACUAAACAGCCUCCACAGUUCUCCCUGGUGCCGUCUCCGGCUUGGCGCCGCAUCCUCCUCUGGGCUCGCGAUGGCCGCGUCCCCUCCCGCUGCGGACGGGUCCUUUGGUACAUGCAGUCCGAGUCACUAUUCCAGGUCCUCAGGAUAUAGCCGUGACCUAAACACAGAAAUCUACCCUGGCGGAGCUGAUCUU